rnacentral:rRNA from 1 species
UACGUAGGGCGCAAGCGUUGUCCGGAAUUAUUGGGCGUAAAGAGCUCGUAGGCGGCUUGUUGCGUCGGAUGUGAAAGCCCGGGGCUUAACCCCGGGUCUGCAUUCGAUACGGGCAGGCUAGAGUGUGGUAGGGGAGAUCGGAAUUCCUGGUGUAGCGGUGAAAUGCGCAGAUAUCAGGAGGAACACCGGUGGCGAAGGCGGAUCUCUGGGACGGUACUGACGCUGAGACGCGAAAGCGUGGGGAGCGAACAGG